AGCGAACGCUGGCGGCAGGCCUAACACAUGCAAGUCGAACGAACCUUUCGGGGUUAGUGGCGGACGGGUGAGUAACACGUGGGAACGUGCCUUUAGGUUCGGAAUAACUCAGGGAAACUUGUGCUAAUACCGAAUGUGCCCUUCGGGGGAAAGAUUUAUCGCCUUUAGAGCGGCCCGCGUCUGAUUAGCUAGUUGGUUGAGGUAAUGGCUCACCAAGGCGACGAUCAGUAGAUGGUCUGAGAGGAUGAUCAGCCACAUUGGGACUGAGACACGGCCCAAACUCCUACGGGAGGCAGCAGUGGGGAAUCUUGCGAAAUGGGCGAAAGCCUGACGCAGCCAUGCCGCGUGAAUGAUGAAGGUCUUAGGAUUGUAAAAUUCUUUCAACGGGGACGAUAAUGACGGUACCCGGAGAAGAAGCCCCGGCUAACUUCGUG
rnacentral:rRNA from 1 species